AGUGAACGCUGGCGGCAGGCCUAAUACAUGCAAGUCGAACGGCAGCACAGCAGAGCUUGCUCUGUGGGUGGCGAGUGGCGGACGGGUGAGGAAUACGUGGGAAUCUGCCCAGUCGUGGGGGAUAACGUAGGGAAACUUACGCUAAUACCGCAUGCGCCCUUCGGGGAGGAGCCGGGGACCGUUCGGCCUGGCGCGAUUGGAUGGGCCCACGUCGGAUUAGCUAGUUGGCGGGGUAAAGGCCCACCAAGGCGACGAUCCGUAGCUGGUCUGAGAGGAUGAUCAGCCACACUGGAACUGAGACACGGUCCAGACUCCUACGGGAGGCAGCA
rnacentral:rRNA from 1 species